UACGGGGGGAGCAAGCGUUGUUCGGAUUUACUGGGCGUAAAGGGCGCGUAGGCGGCCACCGCAAGUCGGUUGUGAAAUCUCCGGGCUUAACCCGGAAAGGUCAAUCGAUACUGCGGGGCUAGAGUGCAGAAGGGGCAACUGGAAUUCUCGGUGUAGCGGUGAAAUGCGUAGAUAUCGAGAGGAACACCUGCGGCGAAAGCGGCUCUCUGGAACGGUACUGACGCUGAGACGCGAAAGCGUGGGGAGCGAACAGG
rnacentral:rRNA from 1 species